GAUCCUGGCUCAGAUUGAACGCUGGCGGCAGGCUUAACACAUGCAAGUCGAACGGUAGCAGGAGAAAGCUUGCUUUCUUGCUGACGAGUGGCGGACGGGUGAGUAAUGCUUGGGAAUCUGGCUUAUGGAGGGGGGAUAACUACGGGAAACUGUAGCUAAUACCGCGUAGUAUCGGAAGAUGAAAGUGCGGGACCGUAAGGCCGCAUGCCAUGAGAUGAGCCCAAGUGGGAUUAGGUAGUUGGG
rnacentral:rRNA from 1 species